rnacentral:misc_RNA from 1 species
GUGAAUCAUCGAAUCUUUGAACGCAAAUUGCGCUUCCUGGCAUCCCGGGGAGUAUGCCUGUUUGAGGGUCAGUAUUAAUAAAAAAUCGGGUUAGGUACAAAUUGUUACGUUUCCGGAGUUUGGGCUAUCUUAACUUUUUUGGUUAAGAGGCGUAAUAUUGACCUUUUUGGCGCGUUUUUAAACGGACAUAAAUUUUUUUUAUUCGCC